rnacentral:rRNA from 1 species
UACGGGGGGGGCAAGCGUUGUUCGGAAUUAAUGGGCGUAAAGGGCUCGUAGGUGGCCAACUAAGUCGGACGUGAAAUCCCUCAGCUUAACUGGGGAACUGCGUCCGAUACUGGAUGGCUUGAGUUUGGGAGAGGGAUGCGGAAUUCCAGGUGUAGCGGUGAAAUGCGUAGAUAUCUGGAGGAACACCGGUGGCGAAGGCGGCAUCCUGGACCAACACUGACACUGAGGAGCGAAAGCCAGGGGAGCAAACGGG